GUACGGAGGAAGGUGGGGAGUGACGUCAAAUCCAUCAUGCCCUUAUGACCUGGGCUACACACGUGCUACAAUGGGCGGUACAAAGGGUCGCGAACCGCGAGGGGGAGCCAAAUCCCAAAAAAGCCGCUCUCAGUUCGGAUUGCAGGCUGCAACUCGCCUGCAUGAAGCCGGAAUCGCUAGUAAUCGCGGAUCAGCAUGCCGCGGUGAAUACGUUCCCGGGCCUU
rnacentral:rRNA from 1 species